GAGUUUGAUCCUGGCUCAGAUUGAACGCUGGCGGCAGGCCUAACACAUGCAAGUCGAGCGGAAACGAGUUAACUGAACCUUCGGGGAACGUUAACGGCGUCGAGCGGCGGACGGGUGAGUAAUGCCUGGGAAAUUGCCCUGAUGUGGGGGAUAACCAUUGGAAACGAUGGCUAAUACCGCAUAAUAGCUUCGGCUCAAAGAGGGGGACCUUCGGGCCUCUCGCGUCAGGAUAUGCCCAGGUGGGAUUAGCUAGUUGGUGAGGUAAUGGCUCACCAAGGCGACGAUCCCUAGCUGGUCUGAGAGGAUGAUCAGCCACACUGGAACUGAGACACGGUCCAGACUCCUACGGGAGGCAGCAGUGGGGAAUAUUGCACAAUGGGCGCAAGCCUGAUGCAGCCAUGCCGCGUGUAUGAAGAAGGCCUUCGGGUUGUAAAGUACUUUCAGCAGUGAGGAAGGUGGAUAUGUUAAUAGCAUAUUCAUUUGACGUUAGCUGCAGAAGAAGCACCGGCUAACUCCGUGCCAGCAGCCGCGGUAAUACGGAGGGUGCGAGCGUUAAUCGGAAUUACUGGGCGUAAAGCGCAUGCAGGUGGUUUGUUAAGUCAGAUGUGAAAGCCCGGGGCUCAACCUCGGAAUUGCAUUUGAAACUGGCAAACUAGAGUACUGUAGAGGGGGGUAGAAUUUCAGGUGUAGCGGUGAAAUGCGUAGAGAUCUGAAGGAAUACCGGUGGCGAAGGCGGCCCCCUGGACAGAUACUGACACUCAGAUGCGAAAGCGUGGGGAGCAAACAGGAUUAGAUACCCUGGUAGUCCACGCCGUAAACGAUGUCUACUUGGAGGUUGUGGCCUUGAGCCGUGGCUUUCGGAGCUAACGCGUUAAGUAGACCGCCUGGGGGAGUACGGUCGCAAGAUUAAAACUCAAAUGAAUUGACGGGGGGCCCGCACAAGCGGGGGGAGCAUGGGGUUUUAAUUCCGAUGCAACCCCGAAAAAACCUUAACCUA
rnacentral:rRNA from 1 species